CACAAGGGAGGACCGGCCUGUGCAGCUUCCAGCGCGGUGCCAUGUGUCUUCAAGGCCGUCCAUAGAACGGCAGGAAAAAGCUGAUCCUGGAACUGUCCUCAGAAAGGUCCCUGUCAAUCACCAAACUGCUCCUGCAAGUCUGUUUUCCAGAAAGAGGGAAGCAUCGCAGUGUGUAAAUGCGAAGUGGGGGUGGAGAGCCAUAGAGAAGAGGGAGGGGAAACACACAAAAGAAUAUAUAGGUCCCCAGGCUCGGUCCAGGGAGAAGCGCCCGGAUCCUAAGACCACACAGGCCCGGACACCCCGUCAUCUUCGCGCCCAGCCGUGGGAGGAGGAUGGACGCCUCUUUCGCAGUGAAAACGUCCCCCUCUGGCCGGUACAGAACUAGAACUGCCGGAAUUCUGCCUUCUCGCCUCGUCCCCACUCUCGAGCAGAGGGGUCUCCCUGGGAGCGGCGCCGUCGAGAAACACCAAUUGCGUGCUGAAACGACGGAGGAUGCCCGGCAGCACACCGCCGCGCACACCCCCGCCCGUGCCCUCUGGUGGUUGGGGGGGCGCCAGUCCCCGCACUGUCCUGGCUGGGAUCAGCGCCCGCCUUCCGGCACGCCCCGCUUGGGCCCCCAGACCACCCAGCCUGGAGAGGCGCGCCCCGAGUGGCCACUGAGUGGCCUGCACCCCGGUGGAAACUUCUACUGGAAGGUGGCCCCGACGACCCUUCUCCCUUACCUGGGCGCAGGGCCACCGGCUGCUGACGAUUCACCGCCUCUCUGGAAGGAAAAAUUCGCAGACCCCUCUAGACACCAAGUUCCACCCCGUCCGUUUGCUUACCCCAAAAUAGUGCUUAGGAGAAAAACAUGUUUCCCCUAGAACAAAAGGGAGAGGAAGAAUCAGAUUGAAUUUUGAUGAUGCAAGGUUCAAGUUGACUCUACGCAUCCUUUGUAAUGGACCUUUUCUUUCAAAUAUGCGUGUGUGUAAAUGCCUGAAAGACUAAUUAAAUAAAGACCAAGUUGACCUCUCUGGGUUGAGGCCCAGUUUCAGAGUCAGAUUAUAUAACCCCCGCUGCACCGGGAAUUCUCCAGCAACGCUGCUCUCAGCCGCCUGGAAAAACGACUGAAUCAAGGGAAGUGAAACUGGAACAGCUGAAAAAAAAAAAAAAAAAAAAAAAGCCGAAGUCUCAGUGGGCACAAAUGCCUCGCUUAAGGAAACUUACCUGGUCGGAUGGACCCUCCAAUACCAACUUUUUCUUUCCUAUCAUUUUUUGUCCUUAUUUUGGGGGGACAGGGGGGUUGUAAGAAGAGUGGCCAAGCAAGUAAUUGAUAUUGGGAGAAUAUAUAGAUUCUCCAAAUUUAAAAAAAAGGAAGAAAGAAAGAAAAAGGAAACACAUGCCCAUGCAAACCUGUUUCUGUUACGCCUUUUACAAUUCCUUAUUUAGAGAGUGAGAUACACGCAUAAACAAUUUACUGGUGCCUGGGGAUAUGUUAAAAUACAUUUCAGGGCCUGGCU